rnacentral:lncRNA from 1 species
AGGAGUAUAGGACUGAAGGCCUCACUUUCUUUCUGACUGUUGCUUGAGAGCUUUCCUCAGCUCCUAAGGAGCCUUGGCAUGUGAAACUCUCUGUAUUCAAAGCUAGCAAUCACUCUUAUGCUUCAAAUCUCUUACUUCCUCUUCUGCUACCAGGCAGAGAAAACCCCGUCCUUUUAAAGGUCUCAUGUGAUUAGAUAAGACCCACCCAGAUAAUCUACCUUUUGCCACAUAAGGUAACUUAAUCAAAAUCACAGAUUUCUCCCAUCCCUCAAAAGAGAGGUGACAAAGCUGAAGGUCAGUUGAGUUCAUUCUUAGAAUUCUGCCUACCACACUCACACAGAAGAAAUUCACUUGUGAUGACAGCUUCCGCCUGUGCCCCUGGAGUUUUAUCUUGCCUGACGUCGUCCCUUCCUGCCUCCCAGUUGCUGAGAACUUUGUUCUGUGCUUAUGAUCUUCAAUUCUUCACUGUUUUUUCACAUCAGCUUCUAAAUUUGUAUGGCCGAAAGAAAAUAAGAGUUCUGCCUGAGAGUGAAUAUUCAAUAGGCCAGGGGACAUAAAGGUGAGAUAACUCGGUGGUUAAGAUCACUGAAAAGAGGUGGGAGGAUUACUUGAGCCUGGAAUUGAGCUCAGGCUGGGCAACAAAGUGAUGCUCUGUCUCUACAAAACAAUUUUUAAAAAAAUGAGCUGGAAAGGUUGCACAUGCCUGUGGUCCCAGCUACUCGGGAGGCUGAAGUGAGUGAGGUGGGAGGACUGCUUGAGCCCAGGAGGUCAAGGCUGCAGUGAGCUGAGAUUGUGCCACUGCACUCCAGCCUGGGCAAGGGAGUGUGACUGUCUCAAAGAAUUAAACAAAAAAAAGUCUGUCCAGUGUCUGACACUGAAUCACUGUUCAAAAAAUGGAGGCUACUGUUGGUUACCAAAAUAGCUGCCUUCAUUUCCUAACUUAAAAUAGCCAAAUUUCUUGUUAGUUUCUUUACUGUGUUCUCAAGAUGAGCAAUUAGAAAGAGAAAUUUAUGUUUCCGUUUCUUUUAAAAAAUCUUCCCUCUGAAAGACUGUAUGUAAUUUAACACACAUUUG